rnacentral:rRNA from 1 species
AGAGUUUGAUCCUGGCUCAGGAUGAACGCUAGCGGCAGGCUUAAUACAUGCAAGUCGAGGGGCAGCAGCUUUAUAGCAAUAUAGAGGCUGGCGACCGGCAAACGGGUGCGGAACACGUACACAACCUUCCUUGAAUAGGGGGAUAGCCCAUAGAAAUGUGGAUUAAUACCCCGUAAUAUAGCGGUGUGGCAUCACACUGUUAUUAUAGUUUCGGCGAUUCGAGAUGGGUGUGCGGCUGAUUAGGUAGUUGGCGGGGUAAAGGCCCACCAAGCCUUCGAUCAGUAGCUGAUGUGAGAGCAUGAUCAGCCACACGGGCACUGAGACACGGGCCCGACUCCUACGGGAGGCAGCAGUAAGGAAUACUGGUCAAUGGACGCAAGUCUGAACCAGCCAUGCCGCGUGAAGGAUGAAGGUCCUCUGGAUUGUAAACUUCUUUUAUAGGGGGCGAAAAAAGGUCUUUCUAGAUCACUUGACAGUACCCUAUGAAUAAGCACCGGCUAACUCCGUGCCAGCAGCCGCGGUAAUACGGAGGGUGCAAGCGUUAUCCGGAUUCACUGGGUUUAAAGGGUGCGUAGGCGGGUAGGUAAGUCAGAGGUGAAAUCCUGGAGCUUAACUCCAGAACUGCCUUUGAUACUAUCUAUCUUGAAUAUGGUGGAGGUAAGCGGAAUAUGUCAUGUAGCGGUGAAAUGCAUAGAUAUGACAUAGAACACCUAUUGCGAAGGCAGCUUACUACGCCUAUAUUGACGCUGAGGCACGAAAGCGUGGGGAUCAAACAGGAUUAGAUACCCUGGUAGUCAAGGGCGAAUUCGUUUAA